AUCAAUGCUUUGAAGGGCAUGAGUAGACAGCGAAUCGUACUUUCAGAGAGCCGGUGGGUGGUGGAAACCGGUAUGCGCCGCUUGUUGAAUUACCGCCUGGAGCUAAGUGAAGGAACCGUAUACUGACAAUCCUCUGCACAUUUUGGCAAAAAAGCCUGUGGGGCAGUCGAAUCAGCCGUAGUAGUUCACUUCGGAGCCCGUCUCCGUUAUCAACAACGAAGUGAGAGUACCUCUUUUUUAUGUAAAAAAAGGCAGGAGUACUCUAACGAGGGUGGUACCGCGAGCUAAUCCUUCUCGUCCCUUGG
rnacentral:ncRNA from 1 species